UACGGGGGGAGCAAGCGUUGUUCGGAUUUACUGGGCGUAAAGGGCGCGUAGGCGGCCAGCGAAAGUUGGUUGGGAAAUCUCUGGGCUUAACCCAGAAAGGCCAACCGAUACUGCGGGGCUAGAGUGCAGAAGGGGCAACUGGAAUUCUCGGUGUAGCGGUGAAAUGCGUAGAUAUCGGGAGGAACACCUGCGGCGAAGGCGGGUUGCUGGGCUGACACUGACGCUGAAGCGCGAAAGCUAGGGGAGCGAACAGG
rnacentral:rRNA from 1 species